GUGUCUUGCUCCCUUUUCUCACCUCACGCAUACACACAUUUCACACACGCAAGUCGUCGUUCAUGCAUGCACGUGUUUGCCCUCCCCUCUGUGUUUGUCUCUGUGUUCAUGAGGAGCCAUUAGGGUGAGCGCGUGCGCGUAGUCUUUGCACAAUGGCCUCCGCCUUCUCCCCCUCCUUCACCCCUCGUAGUAGCGCGUGCGACUGCUGCGAGUGUGGUGUGGUGGUAGGCACGGAAGGCUCGCAGCGCGGAGGUCUCCUUCUGCCGUGUCAGCAUGUUCUGCACAUGGGAUGCGUCGAAUUCAUUCGGCGCCGCGGCAAGGUCUUGAUGGGUAUGGAUAGCACCGAUCUCCCUCUCGAAGAGGAGGGCAGCCGUGUGAGCGGGGACGGUGCGGCCAAGAUCGGCGUGGCGCUCAGUAGUCGCAAUAGCAGCACCUGGGCAAGUCGCACACACGGCUGCUGCGUCUGCCCGGCGUGCUUCACGCAGAUCACGCGCAUUAUUCCGCUGUACUUGCGCAGCACAAACGACGAUGUAGGGGCCGACUCAACGGCCACAGUGCCGACACCGUCUCAGGUCACCGCGGGAGCCUCAGCGAUCGCCGAGGCCGAGUACAGGUGUGUGCACGCGGCCCAGAAGCAAGUGUUGCACCGCCUGCGCAGCCUCUUCGACCAGCGCCGACGCGUUACGGAGCUGACUCAUGCGUGCGCGAACCUGCACGAGCAGCGCGCAAGGUGCCUCGCGGAGGUGGAGAGGGAGGAGCGCUGCUUUCCCGGCCUAACGCACAGCGGCGGCCUCGUCGACGGCAAGGCGGGCGUCGAAUUGUUGAGCGCCGUGGUCUCGAGCACCGCCACUUCUCUUGCCAUGGAGCGCAUGGGCAUGACGGAGCUUGAGCUCUAUAUGGCGCAGGCCACACCGCAGCUGCUGCGCACGCAGGCCGAACUGCGCAAAGAGCGGCAGAUGAUGGAGCGGCGCACCAAGAGGCUGAACUCUUUACGCAUGCACUAUCGCUCCAUGAAGGCGCUGUGCGCCGGUGGCGAAACCAUCGCGCAGAGGGAGGCUCACGCGCGUCGCAACACUGCCGACGCAGCGCGACACUCCACACCCGUGCCGUCGGAAACUCUGCGGAGAGCCCCCUUGCAUGCCAGCGAAGGGGCACCGCGCAUUCAGGAGCCAGGUGCGUCCAGUAGCAGCGGCGUCGCCAGUGGCCCUGAAGCCGCUGCUGCUCCAAGCCGCAAGCGCCACCGCGGUGACGCUGCGAUUGAUGUGGAUGAUGAGGCCUCACCGGAUGUGGUGGAGGUGCUCUCUGGUGAUGAGAGCGAUGCCGACAACAGCGCCUCUCCUGCGGACGUGACGGUGCUCGACGUGGACGAGAACACCGGGUCUGACGCUGGUGACAGGGACGGAAGCAUGGGGUUAGACGUGGCGCCGAUGGCCGACGACGGCACCUACGCUGAUGAAAGCGCGUACGAGGCACCGUACCUCAUACCCUGCUACGUGCGGCCCGCCACCACCUCGUCGUCGCCGGCUGCGGGGUCGAAAGCGCCAGCAUCAGCAGUCACGCAGCAUCAUCUCCGUCUCCUCCCUCGCCGCGAAGACCGGCUAUGGCAGCCCAGCUUGCAGUUUUGAGGGCGCCGUCAUCGCCUCCCCUUCCGCACUCACCUGCAAGCUAUCGCUCUGCUCGCGUCGCCACGGCUCGCGGGGGAUGCCGUCCUCCAUAGGUUUGUGUAUGGGUGCGUUUUCUCUCUUCUCCAGGUCUGGUGCACUACACGUGUGAGGGUGCUUUACUCACUCAUGGGGGGGGCCACACCAUCCACCCCCCCCCUACAGGGCACUCAAGCAGCGCUUGUCGUGCGUCGGGUAUCCGCAAGCGUUCCACCCCUUUUUCAUCGCCUCGCCGGGAAGCGGCUCAGCCCUCCACUGCGCCGAGUCCAGCUGUGAGCAUAACAACUGAUAUACGCCUUAUCGUCUGCCACCCAUCGCAGCCUCUGCUACCGCCUCCGCUUCCCCGAUCACACACACGUGCAUGAUAUACUCAAGCAACACCCCUCCUCCCCUCUCUCCACGGCCUUGUCUGCAG
rnacentral:misc_RNA from 1 species